rnacentral:rRNA from 1 species
GAUGAACGCUGGCGGCGUGCCUAAUACAUGCAAGUCGAGCGAAUGGAUUAAGAGCUUGCUCUUAUGAAGUUAGCGGCGGACGGGUAAGUAACACGUGGGUAACCUGCCCAUAAGACUGGGAUAACUCCGGGAAACCGGGGCUAAUACCGGAUAACAUUUUGAACCGCAUGGUUCGAAAUUGAAAGGCGGCUUCGGCUGUCACUUAUGGAUGGGCCCGCGUCGCAUUAGCUAGUUGGUGAGGUAACGGCUCACCAAGGCAACGAUGCGGAGCCGAGCUGGGAGGGUGAGCGGCCACACUGGGACUGAGACACGGCCCAAACUCCUACGGGAGGCAGCAGUAGGGAAUCUUCCGCAAUGGACGAAAGUCUGACGGAGCAACGCCGCGUGAGUGAUGAAGGCUUUCGGGUCGUAAAACUCUGUUGUUAGGGAAGAACAAGUGCUAGUUGAAUAAGCUGGCACCUUGACGGUACCUAACCAGAAAGCCACGGCUAACUACGUGCCAGCCGCCGCAGUAA